rnacentral:tRNA from 1 species
GCCGACUUAGCUCAGUUGGCAGAGCAUCUGUUUUGUAAACAGGAGGUCGAAGGUUCGAAUCCUUUAGUCGGCACUA